rnacentral:rRNA from 1 species
GAAAGUGGGGGAUCUUCGGACCUCACGCUAUCAGAUGAGCCUAGGUCGGAUUAGCUAGUUGGUGGGGUAAAGGCCUACCAAGGCGACGAUCCGUAACUGGUCUGAGAGGAUGAUCAGUCACACUGGAACUGAGACACGGUCCAGACUCCUACGGGAGGCAGCAGUGGGGAAUAUUGGACAAUGGGCGAAAGCCUGAUCCAGCCAUGCCGCGUGUGUGAAGAAGGUCUUCGGAUUGUAAAGCACUUUAAGUUGGGAGGAAGGGCAGUAAGUUAAUACCUUGCUGUUUUGACGUUACCAACAGAAUAAGCACCGGCUAACUUCGUGCCAGCAGCCGCGGUAAUACGAAGGGUGCAAGCGUUAAUCGGAAUUACUGGGCGUAAAGCGCGCGUAGGUGGUUCAGCAAGUUGGAUGUGAAAUCCCCGGGCUCAACCUGGGAACUGCAUCCAAAACUACUGAGCUAGAGUACGGUAGAGGGUGGUGGAAUUUCCUGUGUAGCG